UACGAAGGGGGCUAGCGUUGUUCGGAAUUACUGGGCGUAAAGCGCACGUAGGCGGACAUUUAAGUCAGGGGUGAAAUCCCGGGGCUCAACCCCGGAACGGCCUUUGAUACUGGGUGUCUUGAGUUCGGAAGAGGUGAGUGGAAUUGCGAGUGUAGAGGUGAAAUUCGUAGAUAUUCGCAGGAACACCAGUGGCGAAGGCGGCUCACUGGUCCGAUACUGACGCUGAGGUGCGAA
rnacentral:rRNA from 1 species